rnacentral:rRNA from 1 species
GGGCCCGCACAAGCGGUGGAGCAUGUGGCUUAAUUCGAGGCAACGCGAAGAACCUUACCUGGUCUUGACAUGCCCGUCAUAGUUUUCCGAAAGGAAUUCGUCAGUUCGGCUGGACGGUGCACAGGUGCUGCAUGGCUGUCGUCAGCUCGUGUCGUGAGAUGUUCGGUUAAGUCCGGCAACGAGCGCAACCCUCGUUUCCAGUUGCCAGCGGGUAAUGCCGGGGACUCUGGAAAGACAAACCUCUUGUUGAGGUGGGAAGGUGGGGACGACGUCAAGUCAGUAUGGCCCUUACGACCAGGGCUGCACACGUGCUACAAUGCCCGGUACAAUGGGAUGCAACACCGCGAGGUUGAGCAAAUCCACAAAGCCGGGCCCAGUUCGGAUUGGAGUCUGCAACUCGACUCCAUGAAGUUGGAAUUACUAGUAA